rnacentral:rRNA from 1 species
GAGGAAUAUUGCACAACGGGCGCAAGCCUGAUGCAGCAACGCCGCGUGAGGGACGAAGGCCUUCGGGUUGUAAACCUCUUUUCUGAGGGACGAGCAAGGACGGUACCUCAAGAAUAAGUCUCGGCUAACUACGUGCCAGCAGCCGCGGUAAAACGUAGGAGGCGAGCGUUAUCCGGAUUUACUGGGCGUAAAGCGCACGCAGGUGGCAGUGCAGGUCGGACAUGAAAGCUCCUGGCUUAACUGGGAGAGGUGGUUCGAAACCGCACGGCUUGAGGUUGGGAGAGGGACGUGGAAUUCCCGGUGUAGUGGUGGAAUGCGUAGAUAUCGGGAGGAACACCAGUGGCGCAAGCGGCGUCCUGGCCCACACCUGACGCUGAGGUGCGAAAGCGUGGGGAGCAAAC